GCUCAUGUAGCUCAGCAGGUAGAGCACAUCCUUGGUAAGGAUGAGGUCACCGGUUCAAGUCCGGUCAUGAGCCCCA
rnacentral:tRNA from 1 species